GUAGCUGCAGCUGUAGAAGUUUCCACGGAGGAUGUGCAUGUGCAGUUACUUUCUACAGCAGAACACUUCAGGAAACCAUGACGCAGUCUGUGGGCUGAGCUUUUCACCCGAGAUUCUCUGUGUGUGUGUGUGUGUGUGUGACACGCAUCACACGGGGUGAGACUUUGACAAGAGAAGAAGCUUCAUUCCUCCUCCACAGACGAGAAGUGUGUGUUGAGUAGUUGAUAGUUUAGUGACUCCCACCGUGGAAAAGGACGAAGAAUGAAAGCGCUCGUGCUGCUGCUGCUGAUCUCCUGCCUCGCCCUCCACAAAGCGAAGGGAGCCCCGAGGACGGCUGUGUACAAGUUUGUCAGAUGUAACCCUGAGGGGGAUCAGGCCAAAUGUGUGACUCAGCAAACUCCAGAGAUGCCCUGGAGUCCUGAACUACCUGCUCGACUGCCUGCCCAGACAGCUCAGUAUCUAGAGGCUGAGCCUGUGGAGGAUGAGAAACCUGCAUGGGAGGAUGAGGAUGAUGAAGUUGAAGAGGAAGAAUCACCACUGGUGAGUGAGGAGGUCAAGAGUGAGUCACCGUUCCUGAGUGAGGAAGGCUCUGGAGGCUAUGAAGGUUUCACAAGUGAAGGUUCAUUCCUGGCUGACAGUGACACAAAUGCAGAUGAAGGCUCCGGCGAGUACAAAGUUGGGAUUUCAAACGCUAUGAAGAGGUUUCUGGCUAAAGAGCGGGAGAUGAAAGAAGAUCAUCUUUUGCAUCUGUAGACAGAAUAUUCCCAGUUUACAGAAACAUGUAUUAAAGCAGCCUCUCUCUUAGUCCUCAACUGAUUGUUCUGAUUGUAAAGCAAACGUCUGCUUUAAACCCCCUCAUCAAUGGAAAGGUCAAACUAACGUUUAUAGUAUUCUGUUGUAAUGAUUGAAAAAUAUUUUUGCACUCAGCCAAAGUCAAACAAUGGUCUGGAAUAAGUGUUGCAGAAAGGGUCAACACAUUUUGUGUAUGAUGUAUUAUGUUAUUUACUGGAGCCAGUUAUAUCGUGCUUUUUCUUCAAAUGAAAGCAUGCUUUUAAAUAUUUUUAAGACCAGUGCAAUAUGAUUUGUUUUGGCUUUAUAAAGGCGUUUGUUUAAAGUGUGGGAUCCUUCGCUCCUCCUCAGAUUAAGGAAGCAGUUUGUGGUUAAUAAAACUUUUAAAAAGUAAAAACUCUUUUUAGAA
rnacentral:lncRNA from 1 species